CUGGCCCAGCUGGAAGCCCUUCGAUUUGACCCAGAAUUUAAAUUUGGCGUUGUCCGUGGAGCUCGACUCGGAUCCGUUGAGGAGCUGGACGAUCCGCUCGUAUUUUUUACGGGUCACCGUCUUGGUCUUGCCUGAGUCCCCAUGCUGAGGGAGGAAGAAGAGCUGCCAUCUGCCAUUGGGAGUGAUAGAUGACUACUUAGCCAAGGAUGCUUUGAAAUCAGUCAAGAUGGUCAGGCAAUGAAUACCAAGCAGAGCCUCAAACAUAAGGAAAAAGCACUUGCACAUGGCCAUUCCAUUCCAUUGGAGGUUUCCUCUUGAAAUUCUUUUAUGACUGAAAAGUUAAAAUCAUCAGGAUCCUUCUGUUAUGAUAUGGAAGAUUAAGUAUAAGAAAAUAUUUAUGGUAUAGAAGAAAAAUGUGCACAAGCAUACACAUAAUUGUUCCCAGAGAACUUUAAGUCACUGGAAAUUUGUACCAUAAUUUCACACUUAUGACUGAAUAACUGAAAAAGUUUUAAAAGUUGUGAAUAGUGGGGCUGGGGAUUUAGCUCAGCGGCAUAAGCGCCUGCCUUGCAAACAGGCAGUUGUGAGUUCGGUCCCCAGUACCGAUAAAAAGACAAAAAAAAAAAAAAAAAAGAAAUGAAGAAUGUUUAUAUUUCUAGAAAUUUUAUUACUCUUACAACAGUCAAGCAAAUUAGCCUAAUCUAUAUUCACAAGAUGGUUACAGAUGUGUAUUUACAGAUUCUUAAAAUGUGAGCCACUUAAAGUAAUUCAGGAGAAUGAUGAAUCUUUUGACUCUAUUAUCAAAUGUUGGUAGUGUAUACAUAUCAUUACAGAGAAAUAAAGAAUGGAUUGUA